rnacentral:misc_RNA from 1 species
AGAUGAACUUACAAGGAAAUAAAAGAUUAUAAACGACGGUAGUUCAACGGCAGUGUGGUACUCCCACCACACCAACCAAGCCAAAUCGUCAACGAGAUACUAUUCAGCGAACAGCUUCGAUCUCUUUCUUAUCAAUGGCUAGUGAGAAGCUACCCACGGCUGGAAAUCCGAUUCGAUGCAAAGUGUCGUAAGCCGGGAGAGCCUCUGGUCUUGGAGGAGAUAGUGGUAGCUCCACCAUAUCGUCACGAAGCUCGAAUUCGGAUUAUUUGCACGUCUCUCUGUCAAAGCGAUAUUACAUUCUGGAAACUGAAGGAUUUUCCUGCUGUUUUCCCGAGAAUUCUCGGCCACGAAGCUAUUGGGGUUGUGGAAAGUGUAGGGGAGGACGUAGAUGAGGUAAAGGAGGGUGACACAGUCAUUCCCACAUUCAUGUCAGAUUGUGGAGAUUGUACAGAUUGCAGAUCAAAGAAGAGCAACCUUUGUUCAAAACUGCCCUUCAAGGUCUCUCCUUGGAUGCCAAGAUAUGAGUCGAGUAGAUUCACAGACCUAAAUGGAGAGGUUUUAUACCAUUUCCUCUUUGUGUCCAGCUUUAGUCAGUAUACAGUGGUAGACGUUGCCCAUCUUACAAAGAUCGAUCCUUCAAUCCCACCACACAGAGCAUGCCUUCUCAGCUGCGGAGUAUCAACUGGUGUUGGUGCUUCUUGGAGAACCGCAAAUGUGGAGACUGGAUCAACUGUUGCCAUAUUUGGGCUGGGAUCGAUUGGUUUAGCAGUUGCGGAGGGUGCAAGAUUAUGUGGUGCUACUAGAAUUAUAGGCGUUGAUAUGAACCCCGACAAGUUUGAAAUUGGGAAAAAAUUUGGAGUCACAGAUUUCAUCAGUGCUGGAGAUUCUGGGAGCAAAUCUGUGAGCCAGGUGAUAAAUGAGAUGACCGGCGGAGGGGCCGACUACUGCUUCGAAUGUGUUGGCUUGGCAUCCUUGGUUCGUGAAGCAUAUUCUUGCUGCCGAAAGGGUUGGGGAAAGACAAUCGUCCUAGGAGUGGACAAACCAGGAGCACAGCUGAGUCUUAGCUCUUUUGAUGUACUUCAUAAUGGGAAAAUCCUCACAGGAUCCUUGUUUGGAGGUCUCAAAGCUAAAUCUGAUAUUCCAGUUCUACUAAAACGCUAUAUGGACAAGGAACUUCAAUUGGAUGAGUUUGUAUCACAUGAGAUAAAGUUCGAAGACAUCAACAAAGCUUUUGAUUUGCUCACCGAAGGAAAGUGUCUCCGAUGCGUGAUUUGGAUGGACCAAUGAGUAUGUUAUCCUGUACGUUCACUGCAAAAAUUCUCUGCUGAGGAUAUGCGGCAUUAUUUCUUAGGUGUGCUGGGCCUGCUGUUCAAAUAAAUCAAGACACAGUCUAUUAUUGGCUUCUUGCGUUUUUGAAGCCGCAUGUUAGAACCAGCAAGCGUUAUAUUGUUUUCAAUUGAAAGGACAUGUAUUGGAUACUGAUUGCUUCUAAGACACUGUAAAUGCACUAGCUGCUCGGUAAAAUAUUUGACCGGGGAUCUGUUUUCUUAAAUGACCCAAAAUGCCGUAGCCA